CACCCAUUCGUUUUUUUCUCUCUUUCUCUCUCUCCUCUUUCUCCCGAAAGCAGUUAUGGAUAUAAACUCCUCCCGAAACGAGAAUUAUAUAAGACCGAUGUAACGGAAUAAAGUUUGUCGUGAUCCUCCACGAUCGGGAAAUGCUGCACGCGUCCGCUGCUCCAAGCUAUCGUCAGGCAAAUACACAAGUGGCAACGAAAAUAUUGUAGCGGGAUCCUCGGUGGUAGCAAAAAGUAAUGUCAAGUUGGGACCAAAACAUGCGACUGCUACACGACCACUGGGUACGGUCCAUUUAUCCGCGUGCCAUGGUGUUGGAACGCCAGUAUUCCAAACUCUGAAACGUUAAUUUCUGUAAUCAAGUGAUCGGUAUGUGAAUAGCGGGAGCAAAAACUAUUGAGGAGAAGACAGAAGUAACGCGUGACUGAGUAAAUUACUGGCUGCACCUAAUUCUAUCGUCCAAACCAACACUCCGUAGUAACAAGCAACUGCUAAUUCACGA